rnacentral:RNase_P_RNA from 1 species
CUGACAAGACGAGUGAUCGCCCGGGUUUCCGGGAGGAAAGUCCGAACACUCAUUGCUGUUUACAGCACUAAAAAUAUAGAGGGUAACACCCUUCGGCCGCGAGGCAGAGGUGCGAACAGAAACGCUGGGAUCCGAAAGGGUCCGGCACCCUUCGGGGUGGCUUCUGUGGAAACACAGAAAUGAAACGGCUAAAUCCUUAUUGAGUGCAAGAACAAAGCAGGAGCUUGGGUUAAAUUCAUCUCGAGUUUCUGUUAAAAGUAGUUCGCCAGAGCUAAGGAGUAAUCCUUGGCCCAGACAGAUGAUCACAUAAAACAGAAUUCGGCUUACGGUCUUGUCAGGAUA